UACGGGGGGGGGCAAGCGUUGUUCGGAAUUACUGGGCGUAAGGGGCUCGUAGGCGGCCAACUAAGUCAGACGUGAAAUCCCUCGGCUUAACCGGGGAACUGCGUCUGAUACUGGAUGGCUUGAGGUUGGGAGAGGGAUGCGGAAUUCCAGGUGUAGCGGUGAAAUGCGUAGAUAUCUGGAGGAACACCGGUGGCGAAGGCGGCAUCCUGGACCAAUUCUGACGCUGAGUGAGCGAAAGCCAGGGGAGCAAACGGG
rnacentral:rRNA from 1 species